rnacentral:rRNA from 1 species
GACGAACGCUGGCGGCGUGCUUAACACAUGCAAGUCGAACGAUGAACCCGGAGCUUGCUCUGGGGGAUUAGUGGCGAACGGGUGAGUAACACGUGAGUAACCUGCCCUGGACUCUGGGAUAAGCGUUGGAAACGACGUCUAAUACCGAUAGGACCUUGGAUCGCAUGAUCUGGGGUGGAAAGUUUUUUCGGUCUGGGAUGGACUCGCGGCCUAUCAGCUUGUUGGUGAGGUAAUGGCUCACCAAGGCGUCGACGGGUAGCCGGCCUGAGAGGGUGACCGGCCACACUGGGACUGAGACACGGCCCAGACUCCUACGGGAGGCAGCAGUGGGGAAUAUUGCACAAUGGGCGAAAGCCUGAUGCAGCAACGCCGCGUGCGGGAUGACGGCCUUCGGGUUGUAAACCGCUUUUAGUAGGGAAGAAGGGCUUCGGCUUGACGGUACCUGCAGAAAAAGGACCGGCUAACUACGUG